rnacentral:rRNA from 1 species
ACGAACGCUGGCGGCAUGCCUAACACAUGCAAGUCGAACGAGACAUUCGGGUCUAGUGGCGCACGGGUGCGUAACGCGUGGGAACCUGCCCUUAGGUUCGGAAUAACUCCCCGAAAGGGGUGCUAAUACCGGAUAAUGUCUUCGGACCAAAGAUUUAUCGCCUUUGGAUGGGCCCGCGUUGGAUUAGCUAGUUGGUAGGGUAAAAGCCUACCAAGGCGACGAUCCAUAGCUGGUCUGAGAGGAUGAUCAGCCACACUGGGACUGAGACACGGCCCAGACUCCUACGGGAGGCAGCAGUGGGGAAUAUUGGACAAUGGGCGAAAGCCUGAUCCAGCAAUGCCGCGUGAGUGAUGAAGGCCUUAGGGUUGUAAAGCUCUUUUACCCGGGAUGAUAAUGACAGUACCGGGAGAAUAAGCUCCGGCUAACUCCGUG